rnacentral:lncRNA from 1 species
UGAUACAGACCAGAUAUUCUGGAAUUCUCUCUCCAACAAAAGAUUACUUCAAGGCCAGAACACACUCCCAGCUAGAGAUCCAAGCAGGUCAAAAGACCCUCAUGUGAGAGAUGCCCACCCUAUAGUUUAUUUUGUUUUCUUAGGGAUAAGGAAGACUUCCAUCUGAUGGGAAGGGAAUGUGUGAAGAUAAAGGAGAAAAGGAAGAGAGGGUAU